rnacentral:rRNA from 1 species
GUGGGGAAUAUUGCGCAAUGGGCGGAAGCCUGACGCAGCGACGCCGCGUGGGGGAUGAAGGCCUUCGGGUUGUAAACCCCUUUCAGCAGGGACGAAGCGGAAGUGACGGUACCUGCAGAAGAAGCGCCGGCUAACUACGUGCCAGCAGCCGCGGUAACACGUAGGGCGCAAGCGUUGUCCGGAAUUAUUGGGCGUAAAGAGCUCGUAGGUGGCUUGUUGCGUCCGCUGUGAAAACUCAGGGCUUAACCCUGAGCCGGCAGUGGAUACGGGCAGGCUAGAGGUAGGUAGGGGAGAAUGGAAUUCCUGGUGUAGCGGUGAAAUGCGCAGAUAUCAGGAGGAACACCGGUGGCGAAGGCGGUUCUCUGGGCCUUACCUGACACUGAGGAGCGAAAGCGUGGGGAGCAAACAGGAUUAGAUACCCCUGUAGUCC